rnacentral:rRNA from 1 species
CCCUUAGAUGUUCUGGGCCGCACACGCGCUACACUGAAGGAGGCAGCGUGUACUCCUGGAUCGAAAGAUUUGGGUAACCCGCGAAUCUCCUUCGUGCUAGUGAUUGAGGUUUGCAAUUAUCCUUCAUGAACGAGGAAUUCCCAGUAAGUGCAAGUCAUAAGCUUGCGCUGACUACGUCCCUGCCCUUUGUACACACCGCCCGUCGCUACUACCGAUUGAAUGAUUUAGUGAGGACUUCGGACUGGGACCGAUGCGGCUUUCGGGCUGCGUCGGUAUUCUGGAAAGAUGUCCAAACUGUAUCAUUUAGAGGAAGUAAAAGUCGUAACA